rnacentral:rRNA from 1 species
CAGUCGCCGCGGUAAUACAGAGGGUGCAAGCGUUAAUCGGAAUUACUGGGCGUAAAGCGCGCGUAGGUGGUUUGUUAAGUUGGAUGUGAAAUCCCCGUGCUCAACCUGGGAACUGCAUCCAAAACUGGCAAGCUAGAGUAUGGUAGAGGGUGGUGGAAUUUCCUGUGUAGCGGUGAAAUGCGUAGAUAUAGGAAGGAACACCAGUGGCGAAGGCGACCACCUGGACUGAUACUGACACUGAGGUGCGAAAUCGUGGGGAGCAAACAGGAUUAGAUACCCCUGUAGUCCCUGUCUCUUAUAC